rnacentral:rRNA from 1 species
GUGAGGAAUAUUGGACAAUGGGUGAGAGCCUGAUCCAGCCAUCCCGCGUGCAGGAAGACGGCCCUAUGGGUUGUAAACUGCUUUUAUACAGGAAUAAACCACCUUACGCGUAGGGUGUUGAAGGUACUGUAUGAAUAAGCACCGGCUAACUCCGUGCCAGCAGCCGCGGUAAUACGGAGGGUGCAAGCGUUAUCCGGAUUUAUUGGGUUUAAAGGGUCCGCAGGCGGGCUUGUAAGUCAGGGGUGAAAUCCGGCAGCUUAACUGUCGAAUUGCCUUUGAAACUGCAGGUCUUGAGUAAGAUUGAAGUAGCUGGAAUGUGUAGUGUAGCGGUGAAAUGCAUAGAUAUUACACGGAACACCAAUAGCGUAGGCAGGUUACUAACUCUUAACUGACGCUGAGGGACGAAAGCGUGGGGAGCGAACAGGAUUAGAAACCCUUGUAGUCC